CACGUAGGGACCAAGCGUUGUCCGGAUUCAUUGGGCGUAAAGAGCUCGUAGGCGGUUCGGUAAGUCGGGUGUGAAACCUCCAGGCUCAACCUGGAGACGCCACCCGAUACUGCCGUGACUAGAGUCCAGUAGGGGAGCGUGGAAUUCCUGGUGUAGCGGUGAAAUGCGCAGAUAUCAGGAGGAACACCAAUAGCGAAGGCAGCUCGCUGGGACGUUACUGACACUAAGGCGCGAAAGCGUGGGGAGCGAACAGG
rnacentral:rRNA from 1 species